ensembl:lncRNA
GGCAAAGGUCUCUGUAGUUGUACAAGGCCAGAAAGGAAAAGCAGUUAUUUACUUAGUCAUUUGCCAAUAUGAAAAGGGACCAGAGGUUACGAGAGGAGGAUGUAGCUAAGAAUUAAAAGUCAACAACUUUGAAUUAAAGUUAUCAUAGUGCAUGUCAGAGAAAUUCUUUGCCAAGCUUAAGUGUGGUUUUUGUCAACAUACCAGCAGAGGUGCUGAAAAUAGCAGCUACAAGGUUAUCCGGGGAAAACAAAGGAAUUGAACAAGUUCAAAGUAUGUGUGCCAGUUAGGAGUCCUGAAGACGAUGAAGCUUUUAUCCCUUAUCUCAGACCACUUGUUGCUCUGUGUCUUCCUGAGUCUACUCUGGGGCACAACUGACUCCAAUACAACAAUCACAUCAACAGUGACGACGACAGUGACAGCAGGACAGAAAAGUACAGCAAAAACAGAAACAAGCACAAGACUAAGAACCAAUCUGCUGACAGCUCCAGAUAAUGUUGACAGAGUGGAUGUGACCACACAAAAUGAGAACAGUAUAACUCUGACCUGGAACAAGGUUAACAACAUCCCAACAUACAUCCUGCAAUAUGGUAAUAUAAGAGAAGAUAUUUAUAAACCUGAAGAAGGACCCAUAGUACAUGUGGUCACUUCUCUGACUGCUGGGACAAACUACACAUUCACUCUCUUCACCAUGUCUGAGGGACUCAACAGCAGUGGAUACAGAUUCAGUGCUGUGACAGCUCCUCGUAAUGCUGACGACUUUAAGAAAAAUGGACAAGAUGAGACCAGCAUAACUCUGGAGUGGAAAACAGUCCCCAACAUCGACAAAUACAUUCUUGCAUUUAAUGAAAGAGAGAUCAAUAUUAGUAAUUCUGAAAACGAAUACAGAGUGUUAAAUUUGACCAGUGGAACCAGAUACACUUUCACUCUCUUCACUGUGUUUGGAAAUGUCAGAAGCAGUGGAGUAAACUGCAUCACAGUCACUGCUCCUCGUAAUGCUGACGACUUUAAGAAAAAUGGACAAAAUGAGACCAGCAUAACUCUGGGGGGGGUGGAAAACAGUCCCCAACAUCGACAAAUACAUUCUUGCAUUUAAUGAAGAGAGAUCAACAUUAGUAAUUCUGAAAAAGAAUACAGAGUGUUAAAUUUGACCAGUGGAACCAGAUACAAUUUCACUCUCUUCACUGUGUUUGAUAAUGUCAGAAGCAGUGGAGUAAACUGCAUCGCAGUUACUGGUGAGAUGUAAUUUCUCUAACAUAGAUAGAUAAACCAGGAUGGACCGGCUCAUUAGUACUUGAAACUUUAGC